AGGACGAACGCUGGCGGCGUGCUUAACACAUGCAAGUCGAACGGAAAGGCCCUUUCGGGGUACUCGAGCGGCGAACGGGUGAGUAACACGUGAGCAAUCUGCCCUUAGCUUCGGGAUAGCUCCGGGAAACCGGAAUUAAAUACCGGAUAUGACUAUGGCUGACAUCAGCCACGGUGGAAAGUUUUUCGGCUAGGGAUGAGCUCGCGGCCUAUCAGCUAGUUGGUGGGUAACGCCUACCAAGGCGACGACGGGUA
rnacentral:rRNA from 1 species